CGGAGGGUGCAAGCGUUAUCCGGAUUCACUGGGUUUAAAGGGUGUGUAGGCGGGCAGUUAAGUCAGUGGUGAAAUCUCCGGGCUCAACCCGGAAACUGCCAUUGAUACUAAUUGUCUAGAAUAUCGUUGAGGCAGGCGGAAUAUGUCAUGUAGCGGUGAAAUGCAUAGAUAUGACAUAGAACACCAAUUGCGAAGGCAGCUUGCUAAACGAUCAUUGACGCUGAGGCACGAAAGCGUGGGGAUCAAACAGGAUUAGAUACCCUGGUAGUCCACGCCCUAAACGAUGAUUACUCGACAUACGCGAUACACAGUGUGUGUCUGAGCGAAAGCAUUAAGUAAUCCACCUGGGAAGUACGUCCGCAAGGAUG
rnacentral:rRNA from 1 species